rnacentral:rRNA from 1 species
GACGAACGCUGGCGGCGUGCCUAAUACAUGCAAGUAGAACGCUGAAGGAGGAGCUUGCUUCUCUGGAUGAGUUGCGAACGGGUGAGUAACGCGUAGGUAACCUGCCUGGUAGCGGGGGAUAACUAUUGGAAACGAUAGCUAAUACCGCAUAAUAGUAGAUGUUGCAUGACAUUUGCUUAAAAGGUGCAAUUGCAUCACUACCAGAUGGCCCUGCGUUGUAUUAGCUAGUUGGUGGGGUAACGGCUCACCAAGGCGACGAUACAUAGCCGACCUGAGAGGGUGAUCGGCCACACUGGGACUGAGACACGGCCCAGACGCCUACGGGAGGCAGCAGUAGGGAAUCUUCGGCAAUGGACGGAAGUCUGACCGAGCAACGCCGCGUGAGGGAAGAAGGUUGUCGGAUCGUAAAGCUCGGUUGUAAGAGAAGAACGAGUGUGAGAGUGGAAAGUUCACACUGUGACGGUAUCUUACCAGAAAGGGACGGCUAACUACGUG